UACGUAGGGUGCAAGCGUUGUCCGGAAUUAUUGGGCGUAAAGAGCUCGUAGGCGGUCUGUCGCGUCUGCUGUGAAAACUCAGGGCUUAACCCUGAGCUUGCAGUGGGUACGGGCAGACUAGAGUGCGGUAGGGGAGACUGGAAUUCCUGGUGUAGCGGUGAAAUGCGCAGAUAUCAGGAGGAACACCGGUGGCGAAGGCGGGUCUCUGGGCCGAAACUGACGCUGAGGAGCAAAAGCGUGGGGAGCGAACAGG
rnacentral:rRNA from 1 species